GUUUUAAUAAAUUAAUACCCCCCUGCUUGUAUGUAGUACAUGNNGACUACAAGACCGCCGCGCAGAUGCUCAUUACAACAGAUAAAGAUGUAGGCGGUUAUCUUCAGAUAAGGAUAUAUCUGCGGUAAUAUGUGGAGCUAACACACGCAAGAAUUGUUAUAUUGUUAUCCUAUAUAGUAGCAGUUAGUAGAACACCACCGGUGGGCUCGCCCAUAUAUGUUUACUGUAGAUAAUUCACCAUCCCUAUUCAUUUUAGUGGGAUGCCGGAUUUGUAUUUGCCCUAUCAACUAUAUAACCGUGUAUUGAACGGUUAUGGUGUUGCCGGGUAACGGAGAAUUAGGGUUUGUUUCCGGAGAGAAUGCCUUAAAAACGGCUUUCACCUCCCAGGAAGGCAGCCGGCGCGAAAAUUUCCCCCUUUCAGUUUGAGGAGGGAGGGACGUGAAAUGACAAGUUUUGUUUUUUAUAGAAUAAAACCUUGGAAUGGUUUAAUUACAAAUCCCUUAAAGAUAAUCAAUGAGAGGGCAAGUUUGGGGCCAGCAGCCGCGGUAAUUCCAGCUUUCAUACUGCCUUGAAUUGCUGUUGCGGUUAAAAAGUUCGGAGUUGCAAGUGUAUGGAAAGAUGUGGUUCAUUUUAUUAAUGAUACUUCAUCUACCAUAAAGUGUGUAUAUAUACUCUAUAUACACCAGUUACUUUGAGUAAAUCAGAGUGCUUAGAACAAGCGUAUUGCUUGAAUGGUUGUGCAUGGAAUAACAAUAUGAUACAUUAGUAUUUGUUUUGUUGGUUUUAAUAUUAAUGAAUGGUUAAAAGGAACAAACGGGGGUAAAAGUAUCAUAAGGCGAGAGGUAAAUUCGUGGACCCUUNAAG
rnacentral:rRNA from 1 species